rnacentral:sRNA from 1 species
UCAUAUACAAUACUGAGUUUGUGGAGGC